AUGAACGCUGGCGGCGUGCCUAAUACAUGCAAGUCGAGCGAACGGACGAGAAGCUUGCUUCUCUGAUGUUAGCGGCGGACGGGUGAGUAACACGUGGAUAACCUACCUAUAAGACUGGGAUAACUUCGGGAAACCGGAGCUAAUACCGGAUAAUAUUUUGAACCGCAUGGUUCAAAAGUGAAAGACAGUCUUGCUGUCACUUAUAGAUGGAUCCGCGCUGCAUUAGCUAGUUGGUAAGGUAACGGCUUACCAAGGCAACGAUGCAUAGCCGACCUGAGAGGGUGAUCGGCCACACUGGAACUGAGACACGGUCCAGACUCCUACGGGAGGCAGCAGUAGGGAAUCUUCCGCAAUGGGCGAAAGCCUGACGGAGCAACGCCGCGUGAGUGAUGAAGGUCUUCGGAUCGUAAAACUCUGUUAUUAGGGAAGAACAUAUGUGUAAGUAACUGUGCACAUCUUGACGGUACCUAAUCAGAAAGCCACGGCUAACUACGUG
rnacentral:rRNA from 1 species